GCCUUCGUGGCUCAGCUGGUUAGAGCGCCGGUCUCAUACUUUCACGAGUGAACACAUGAUCCGUUAGGAAACAUCCGGAGAUCGCCAGUUCGAUCCUGGCCGAGGGCA
rnacentral:tRNA from 1 species